rnacentral:rRNA from 1 species
AUGAACGCUGGCGGCGUGCCUAAUCCAUGCAAGUCGAACGGAGGGUGUAGCAAUAUACUCUUAGUGGCGAACGGGUGAGUAACGCGUUGGUGACCUGCCCCGAAGUGUGGGAUAACAGUUCGAAAGGAUUGCUAAUACCGCAUGUGAUCUUUGAGAUUAGAAGCUUGAAGAUUAAAGGACGAAAGUCCGCUACGGGAGGGGCCUGCGUCCCAUCAGCUAGUUGGUAAGGUAAUGGCUUACCAAGGCGAUGACGGGUAGGGGACCUGAGAGGGUGACCCCCCACAAUGGAACUGAAACACGGUCCAUACACCUACGGGUGGCAGCAGGAGGGAAUAUUGGUUAAUGUGCGAAAGCGCGAACCAGCAACGCCGCGUGCGCGAUGACGGCCUUCGGGUUGUAAAGCGCUUUUUGAGGGGAUGAGAAAGGACAGUACCCUCAGAAUAAGCCUCGGCUAACUACGU